UACGUAGGGACCGAGCGUUGUCCGGAAUCAUUGGGCGUAAAGAGCGUGUAGGCGGCUAUUUAAGUCCUGCGUGAAAUCCUGCGGCUCAACCGCAGACGGUCGUGGGAAACUGGAUGGCUAGAGUGCGGGGAGAGGAGAGUGGAAUUCCCGGUGUAGCGGUGAAAUGCGCAGAUAUCAGGAGGAACACCGGUGGCGAAGGCGGGUCUCUGGGCAGUAACUGACGCUGAGGAGCGAAAGCGUGGGGAGCGAACAGG
rnacentral:rRNA from 1 species